rnacentral:misc_RNA from 1 species
GGGAAAGCAAAAAUACACUUUUGAGAGCAAACGUGACACUCUUGAUCUUGUAUACCAGGGUCUUGACCUCCACAUGCCCAAGGCAUUUAUAAAUAGAGAUGAUAAUAGCAGUGUUGCAAAAGUAGUUAACAUGACUAGGAAAACAUCACAAUCUGCAUCAACAGAAAGGUCUUCUAAUGACAGCAGCUCGGAGAGACAGCGUGAUGAUGGUUUUCUUUUAUCAUCUGAUUACUUCACAAUCAGAAGGCAAGCCCCAAAAGCUGAUCCAGAUAGGUUGUUGGCGUGGCAAGAAGCUGGUAGGAGAAAUCUCGAGAUGACAUAUGUGAGAUCUGAGUUUGAAAAUGGGAGUGAAAGUGAUGACCAUACAAGAUCUGACCCAAGUGAUGAUGAUGGGUAUAAUGUCGUGAUCGCUGAUAAUUGUCAGCGAAUCUUUGUCUAUGGUCUUAAGCUUUUGUGGACACUUGAGAAUAGGGAUGCAGUUUGGUCCUGGGUAGGUGGAAUAUCUAAAGCUUUUGAAUCUCCAAAACCAUCUCCUUCUAGGCAAUAUGCCCAAAGAAAGUUGCUGGAGGAUAGUGAGGUAAUUGAUAGAACUGAACUACCUCAAGAUGAUAACCAGAAGUCUCCAGUUAGUCAUGGUGCCAGUUCCUCUUCUCCACAACAUGUCAGGCCAUCAAAAGCACAAGUAGAAGCACCUUCAUCAAGUGAAGUUAAAGUAGAAACUCUUCCAUCCACUUCUUUUGCGAAGCUUGCCGA